UCUUGCGAAAUGAAAUUUCCUAUACAAAACCUAUGCAUAAAAAACGUCGCGAAAUGUUCGCGAAAAAAAAUUUCGUUUCCAUUUCGUAAGCGGUACGCAGCUCUCGCGAAAACGAUAACGAAAAAUGAAGUUAGCUGAGACACGGUUCGACAAACGAUAAGUUUCAUAAUAGUUCCGCGAGACAGCGCUGCUUUCUAUGCGCUGUCACCAAGGCAAACUUUUUCCUUGCGAAAUAAUGAUCUGGCAAUCAGCCAACCAACAUUAAAUCGAUACAACCGCAGCAGUACCAACUACUCCAAAUCCAGCAACAGCCACUCAAAAAAGGACCACAUAGCAAUUACUGCUCAAACGAACAACAGGAGUUUACGAAUGAUGGACACAUCGGAAAACAUUUCAUCGGCACAUUCUGCCUUAAAACAUGUCUGCCACUAUUUUUGAAAAUAUCACUGCCUACACAGUGCUCGUGAUUCCAUUCCAGCAGCAGCAAGCAAUCACUAUUCGAGUGCUUAUCGCCAACAUUUCACAGCAAGCUCAGCAGCAGAACCACCUUCAACCACAACAUCAGAAAAUUAAGAUUUCUUCCAGACCAUGACCAUCAUCCUAAAGGUCGGUAGCAAUAAUGUUCAACCGACGGUACAACCUGGUCAGCAACUGCAAUUAGUGCAAUAGAUCCAACCCAAAUGUAGAUUUACUAACUGCAAAAAAAGAUAGCAACAGCACAUUCAAACACAGUAGCAGCAGCAUACUAUACUGUACCAUGCGGUGUGCAGGACUUUUUUAUUCAGUUGUUGCGGCAAGAUCGAACACCAACAACAUAAUAUCAUGGUAAUCACCCAGCAAGAGAACGCAGUGAUAAUGGGCCAACAGAAAACACAACAUCAAGAUGCUCGGAAAGGACUUUCUCUUUCGAACAAACAUAAUGGCACGUCAUCUUCAAUCGGCUAACCGUUUGGAAUAAGCGCUCAUCAUCGGUUUCAUGGCAGGGAAGUGAGCAGGCAAAAGAAGGCAUCGUUUUUUCCGCAAGGUCGCUCUGGUCAAAAUUUCAGCGAAUUGCAAGGAAUAAACCACCCGAGGGACAGUACCCGUGCUGAUUCAGGACGAUUUCCCAUACUUUGUACCUUGCUAUUGAAUUUUAAUACCCGAUCGAAACGAUGGCAAGCGCUGCCGACAACUGGGUCAAAAAGACGACGGAUCAAGAAAUUUCUGCACUCGGUUAGCGAACUGAGUACAUAUCAUCAAGGAUAAGGAUUCAGAGCCGGCGGCUGGCAGUCCAGAGAAAGAGAAUGCGGAAAAACCUAGUCCACCGGCAGUAGAACCAAAGCUGCACCUGAUGUUUGGAGUUCGGUAGCUACAGAAAUUCUGACUCUAGCAGCUCCUGAAGAAAAACAAGCUGCAAGAGAAAAUGGAGAAACACCUUCCUCCGCGGAAGAUGCAGAGGCAUUCAACCCGGCGGAUGCAAGUUUGCUAAUGAAAGAUGUGUAUCGACGUCGAACAGGUGACCAUUGUCGUCAACUUCGACCUGCCGAUGGAUUAGCAGGGACGAGCCGAUUGCGAAACGUAUCUACAUCGAAUUAGACGCACCGGUAGAUUCGAACGGAAUCACCAUCAACCUAGUGGGCAGUGAUCGAAACAUGAUGAUUUGCAGAUCAAUCAAAAAACACUUCCGGAAAAAGAUUCAGUUGCUAGACGCGGAGAACUCGGACGAAAUUGAAAAGAUCGCACCGUAAAGUGUUUUCGACCAGCUACUGGUCAUACUUGUUUUGAUUCUGAAUUUAUAAUUUUAUAUUUUUUUAAUUUACAAAUGUAACCAACAGGGUAUCGCAAGCUAAUAAAUUUACAAUUACAAUUACAAUCUCUA